UUUUCUUCUUUCAGCCACAUCAGAUAUCUUUUAUGAUCUGCACUACUCAAUGCCUGCAUUUAUUUUGCUAUUCAAAUUGUUGUGGGAACUUUCCCUUUCUGCAGCUGAGAGCAGUUCUGUCUCAGGACAUUUUCCAGUUGCUUCUGCCACAACAAUCUCCUCCAUCUCAGUGCCUCUGAUGCCCCUUGUGAAUUCAAGAAGCACUGCAGUGCCAGCAAGACUUCAUAAAACCAGUUGCUCACUGGUCCUCUCUCUCUUCCGUCUUUCAAUCAUCCUAAAAGAAUCAUCCUAAAAGAAGUUAAAAAGGGUGGAGUGGCUUGUGGAAUAACAGUAUGGGAUUCACUCAACUGAAAAUAUCCGGCCAAAAAAAGUAUCAGGAGAAAGGGACAAUGGCCCAAAGAUGCAGCAAGCCCAAAGAAAGCUCCCAGAUUCUGUUCCAGGAAACCCAACGAUUGCCUGCUUGGUGGCUAACAAGAGAUGACUUCUUUUGC